UGAAAUCUCUACCAAACGGUGCUUUUAGCAAAUGAUUUGAAUCCGAAACGGGAGAAACAUUUCUCUUUUUUACACUGUGAGAGAGAAACAUGCAAAAUGUGGUUUCCUUCAUUUCUAAAUCACUUAUUUCUCAUUUACAACUGACAUCAUCUCUCGAGAAUCAGAAUCCAUCCAACUAGCCAAACGAUCGCACAAAGUGAUUUUGAUUCAUCAGAGAAAUAUUUCUAGAAAAAAACUGGAAACAAAACGUUUCUGAAAAAAUCCAAAACCCUACCAAACGGACCAAACUAUCAAAUUCAGAAUAAAUAACCAAAUCAUCUGCAAUCAACAAACUCUAGAGUUUCAAGUCUUUUAACCACACAUGCUAUUAGUUUGCAAGGUCAAGCGCCACCUAUGGCGAAUUAUGAAUAGGAGGACAAUCAACGAUGUACAUAUGCAAGAAAAAUGGCUUGUGAAAUUGGCACCUCGGCGCCUUGUCCUUUUGUGAGGAAAAAAACCAAAACAUUGGAGUAAAAUGACAUCUGAAAACAGCUGCUAUGUUGAUGUUAUAUGUUGAUAGUGAGAUUCUAUCCUUCUACUCUAUUGAAAAGAACUUGGCGUUUCUCAAUUAUUAGAGUGAUAACAAUUCCCAACCAACAAAAGAUGGAGGAAAUAGUCACUUCUAUCAAGCAUUUCUGAUCAAAUAAGUUUCCUUCAUGAAACAAAAUCAUCAGCUACAGUAUUGGCCCAUGCUUAACAAUGUAUAUCUAGGCAUUUAAACAUUUCAAACAUCUAUAAAACUCCAAGCUCAAUGUAAUCAAUUUUAACAUAAUAUCUUCUUUUAAGUACUUAACUGUUAACAUAUUGUGCAUUACUAACAUGACAAUGCUUUCCCAGAAGACUAGUGUUACAUCGGGUCCAUGUCAAUAAUUAACCUGUAGAAAUGGUUGCCCACCUACCAUGUCCUCUUUCCCUUGAAAAGGAAAAAAAAAAAGAGGUGCCGACCCUAAAGGAUCACUUGCACUGCACAGACAUAGCAAUCACUCACCUCAUAUACUGAAUAGUGACCACAUGCCACCUGACAUGAAGGAUAUAUACAGAGAAGCACACAAAGUAACAAAUUAUCAAUAAAGCCUUACUAUGCCAUUCCAUUCGAAACCUUGAACUGCUCACUCACGAUGACGACCACACCGUUGAUGUCUCAGAAGCUUGCUCAGAUGGCAGAAACAAGCAACAUGGAUGAAACACACGGCAACACUGGGACUAGCAUCUGUGUUCAUUCACGCCCAUCUGCAAACCUGCAGAUGCAACCGCUCCGUUUUCUGCAGUAUUGCGGUUCAUGCAACCGUGCACUUGGCCUGGAGGCUGACAUCUACAUUUACAAGGGAGAGAGCGCUUUCUGCAGUACAGAAUGCCGAGAUAAAGGAAUGAGAACCGACCAUACUUAAAGGAAAAAUUCAUCCUAAAAUAGUGCAUCGGUAACUGGUAUGAAAUAAGACGUUGAAGUUGUGUUCAGAUGAAUUAUCUCAUACUCUGUAAUAUAGUGCAUGUUUUAUUGAACUAUUCUGGACUAUAUAUGUAGAUCCUAUAAAAGACUGUUGUUGUU